rnacentral:rRNA from 1 species
UACGUAGGGCGCAAGCGUUGUCCGGAAUUAUUGGGCGUACAGAGCUCGUAGGCGGCUUGUCACGUCGGGUGUGAAAGCCCGGGGCUUAACCCCGGGUCUGCAUUCGAUACGGGCUAGCUAGAGUGUGGUAGGGGAGAUCGGAAUUCCUGGUGUAGCGGUGAAAUGCGCAGAUAUCAGGAGGAACACCGGUGGCGAAGGCGGAUCUCUGGGCCAUUACUGACGCUGAGGAGCGAAAGCGUGGGGAGCGAACAGG